AUGGAAAAACACCUGCUGCUGAUAUUAACUAUGAUUUCAGGUGUGAUGACUGCAGACCAGAUUAGACCAAAUCAAGAAACUAGUGUCAUAAAAAAGGAAGAUGAGACUGUGACCCUCAGCUGCUCCUAUGAUACAAGCAGCAGUUAUUAUCCCGGAUCAGCUCCUGAGUUCAUUGUGUUUAUCUCAGAUGGAUCAAAACAAGCUCAGGAGUCUAUUGUAGAUUCCAGAUUCACUGCCAAAGUCACCAAAGACAAAGAAAACCAUGUGGAUCUGGAGAUCUCCUCUGUAUCUAUAUCAGAUUCUGCUCUGUACUACUGCGCUCUGGAGCCCACAGUGGUGAUGAAAGAGUGGUUUAUAUCAGAGAGUAUUUACCAGAACCUGACAGAGACUGAGUCAUAA